GACGAACGCUGGCGGCGUGCUUAGCACAUGCAAGUCGAACGGAAAGGCCCUGCUUUUGUGGGGUGCUCGAGUGGCGAACGGGUGAGUAACACGUGAGUAACCUGCCCUUGACUUUGGGAUAACUUCAGGAAACUGGGGCUAAUACCGGAUAGGAGCUCCUGCUGCAUGGUGGGGGUUGGAAAGUUUCGGCGGUUGGGGUUGGACUCGCGGCUUAUCAGCUUGUUGGUGGGGUAGUGGCUUACCAAGGCUUUGACGGGUAGCCGGCCUGAGAGGGUGACCGGCCACAGUGGGACUGAGAUACGGCCCAGACUGCAACGUGAGGCAGCAGUGGGGAAUAUUGCACAAUGGGCGGAGGCCUGAUGCAGCAACGCCGCGUGCGGGAUGACGGCCGUCGGGGAGUAAACCGCUUUCGCCUGUGACGAAGCGUGAGUGACGGUAAUGGGUAAAGAAGCACCGGCUAACUACGG
rnacentral:rRNA from 1 species